rnacentral:rRNA from 1 species
CCCUACUGCUAUCGGGGUGGGACUAAAACAUGCUAGUCGAGCGUCUCCUGGCCAUGGUGGAGGCGCGGCGUACAGCUCAGUAACACGUGGCUAACCUACCCUUGGGACGGGAACACCCCCGGGAAACCACGCACAGACCUUGACCACAUAAACACAAAUUCUCAAAAAAUCCAAAAACCCCAUAACAUAAACAAACACUUCACUACACCGCCUUGCCGAUUUCUAAGCUGGCAAAGGCUAUCUCAAACUAACCAAAACCUACACGCAACUUUCUAAGAAUAGAAACUUAAGGCUCUGGCGUAGCCCAAAACUGGGGUUAAUUCCCGAUGGGUGAGGAGGCCUGGAAUGGUUCUUCACUGAAAGGGCGCUAGAGGCAUGCUCUCUAACGUUGCCCAAGGAUGGGGCCGCGGCCGAUCAGGUUGUUGGUGAGGUAACGGCUUACCAAGCCUAUAACCGGUACGGGCCGUGAGAGCGGAAGCCCGGAGAUGGGCACUGAGAUAAGGGCCCAGGCCCUACGGGGCGCAGCAGUUGCGAAAACUCCCGCAAUGCACGAAAGUGUGACGGGGCUACCCCCGAGUGCCGUCCGCUGAGGAUGGCUUUUUCUCCGCUGUAAGGAGGCGGAGGAAUAAGGAGAGGGCAAGACUGGUGUCAGCCGCCGCGGUAAUACCAGCUCUCCGAGUGGUAGGGGUGAUUAUUGGGCUUAAAGCGUCCGUAGCCGGCCUGGCAAGUCUUCCGUUAAAUCCAGCAACCUAAUUGUUGGGCUGCGGGGGAUACUGUUAGGCUUGGGGGCGGGAGAGGCCGACGGUAUUCUCGAGGUAGGGGUGAAAUCUUAUAAUCCCGAGAGGACCACCAGUGGCGAAGGCUGUCGGCUAGCACGCGCCUGACGGUGAGGGACGAAAGCUGGGGGAGCGAACCGGAUUAGAUACCCGGGUAGUCCCUGCUGUAAACGAUGCGAGCUAGGUGUUGGGGCGGCUACGAGCCGCUUCAGUGCCGCAGCGAAGGCGUUAAGCUCGCCGCCUGGGGAGUACGGCCGCAAGGCUGAAACUUAAAGGAAUUGGCGGGGGAGCACCACAAGGCGUGAAGCUUGCGGUUC